rnacentral:tRNA from 1 species
UGUAGCAGAGCUUGUUAAAGCGUUUCAUUUACAUUGAGGAGAAUCUUAAUUGAUGUUAUAA